rnacentral:rRNA from 1 species
UACGUAGGGUGCAAGCGUUGUCCGGAAUUAUUGGGCGUAAAGGGCUCGUAGGCGGUCCAUCGCGUCGGGAGUGAAAAGCUGGGGCUUAACCCCAGCCCUGCUUCCGAUACGGGUGGACUAGAGGUAGGUAGGGGAGAACGGAAUUCCUGGUGUAGCGGUGAAAUGCGCAGAUAUCAGGAGGAACACCGGUGGCGAAGGCGGUUCUCUGGGCCUUACCUGACGCUGAGGAGCGAAAGCAUGGGGAGCAAACAGG